rnacentral:lncRNA from 1 species
UAUCAAUUAGUUUUCUUCCAUUUAUUCCAAGGCAAGAAUUCAACAAUCCCUUAACCAAAAUCAAGGAACUAUUCAUACGUUGUUGAAUAGAAAUAUGGGGUUCCAAUCGUUGAUAAUUUUGUCAUCGUUCAAUUGUUUUAAGAUAGUUAUGGAUUGAGGAACGUAAGGUGCCCCUACUUUUUCAGGAUAAAAAGGGGUAGAGAAAAUGCCUCAAGCCAAUGUUCGAGCACCAGGCACUACGGCGCUGAAGUAACCCACGCCAUACUCCCAGGAAAAGCUUGAAGGACCUUUAAACAAAAGGGUACUUGUACCCAAAAUCAACACAAGUGGGUAGAUAGAGACUACCUAGGAAAGUGAGACAACUCUCUCUAAGGACCUGGCUCAAGCUGAACGCUGGCAGCAUGCUUAACACAUGCAAGUCAGGCGAGAAGUGUUGUUUCCAGUGGCGGACGGGUGAGUAACCCGUAAGAACCUGUCAUUGGGAGGGAAACAACAGCUGGAAAAGGCUGCUAAUAUCCUGUAGGUUGAGGAGCAAAAGGAAAAACUGCUCGAGGAGGGGCUUGCGUCUAAUUAGUUAGUUGGUGAGACAAUAUCUUACCAAGAAAUGGUCAAUAGCUGGUCCGAGAGGAUGAUCAACCACACUGGGAUUGAGACACGAUCCAGACUCAUAUGGGAGGAAGCAGUGGGGAAUUGUACUCAA